rnacentral:rRNA from 1 species
AACGACUCUCGGCAACGGAUAUCUCGGCUCGCAUCGAUGAAGAACGUAGCGAAAUGCGAUACUUGGUGUGAAUUGCAGAAUCCCGUGAACCAUCGAGUCUUUGAACGCAAGUUGCGCCCCACGCCUUCGGGCCGAGGGCACGUCUGCCUGGGUGUCAC